ACAUUCCUAGUGUAGACAUGCCAACUGCAGAGGGGGGAAAUAUUUGCUUCUUUUCUCUGAUUAGAGAAUCAUGGUUUUUAUUUUCACUAAAAACAGUGUCCUAAUCGUAUUUCCUGUUUUGUUUCACACUGCCUCUCAACCAGAGCAGCUCUCCUUAAAGUGUACUUAACGCCUUUAGGUACAUGUAGUUCAGAAUAUAUUUAGAGGACAUGCUUAGUGUCUAUAAUGUCACUCAGAAGAAGCCACACAACAACCAUUUCCUAUCUGUUUACAUUAUUUUCAGUGGUUUUGCUGUUAUCUACACAUUAUUUCAAAAGUAAGCAGAAAAAAGAUCUGCUCUUAUUUCAGAUAAUAGCAUAUAGACACCAGAAUUUCUUCUUUUUUGUAAGAUACAGUAGUUUUGUCAUGUCCAUGCGAGUGUUAGCUAUCUAGAAGACUUUGAUAAGCCAUUGAGAUUCUGUUUAGCAAAAUAAACCACUAAAGGUUUUAAAAUGUCUAAAAGUAAUGUUGCUGCUUUGAUCAGUUAUUAAAUGAGAUCACCAAACAUCAUAAAGCAAUUAUGUUUGAGGGUAUAUGACAGUGAUUGUUGUGAAUAAACUCCAACUGAUGUAGAUUUUCUGAAUACCUAUAUAUGAUGUAUAAAGUGUUAAGCACAGAUAUAUAUAUGCACUGGAGGGUAAUUUUAGCUGCUUGUUAAGAGAUUUGCUACAUAUGAUUUAGCUAAAUGACCUUCUGUCUGAAUUUAUCUUCUGACAAAACUCACUAUUUGCAAUUUACCAACAAUCAUCUAACACUUGUGCUGUGUGAUGUUUUGUAUCUCUGGUAGGAUUAUGAAUAUAUUUACCGUACAUGAAUGACUGUAAAGGCUUUGUAAUUGUGUAAAUGUAAACUGCUCGAAAUGGAGUAACUGCCCUAUCGUUUUGUGUUCUUACUCAGACUUACAGAUCAUUUUUGAUAAAUUAGAAUAUCAUUGAAAUUUGUAUUUAUUUUAGACCUACAAAAAUAUCCCUUUCGCAUGAAUUACAACAAUACAUUUGGAGCCUUAAUGCGCUGCUGAUUGAUUUAAGGAAUCAAAAUGUUUCCGUAUUUUGGGAUGUGUGAAAAGCAAACUCAGUCUGCCCAUUAAGACAAAGUGCUCUAAACAUGGCCCCUGAAAUUAUAGGGAACUUUAGAGUGAGGAACAAUCAGUUUGGGUUUUUUGCAUCUCUUACUCAGAGGAGCUCCAGUUUUAUGAAUUCAGGUUUAUAAUAUGAUUUUAUUUUGUAUUUAUUUUAAUUCCUUACUAACUUCCAGGCAACAUAUUUAUGUUUUUUUUUUUUUUUUUGAGACCGAAAGAAUAAAAGGCCUAAGAAUUAAAUGCUCAAAUUAAAGGAUUGAGUAAAAUAGUUUUUAUUUAAUUAUCAGUUUUAUUGUAUGUUCCACUUUUGGACAAUCAUCAAUAUUUUUAACUGGGAGGGGUACUUAUGGUAAGAGAAAUACGCAAAGGGGUACACGAAUCAAAAAAGUUUGGGAAACACCGAUCUAGACUGGGACUUUGGUUUCUAAGUUAUUACUUAUUUUCCUUUAUUCCAGAAGAACCAAAAAAAAAAAAAAACUUAAAAUGUCACUGCUAAUUGGUAUAGUCUAUGAAUUUAAGUUUUACAGGUAAAUUACUAAAGUACAUUUUAAAUGGUGUUCUAAUGCAUAGAGAUGUACCAGUAUAUAGCUUAUGUUCUUGGACUUUAUUUUUAGAUUAUUUGAACAUAACCUUCAAUAAUCUCCAGAAUGUAUUGAUUUUUUGAUAAAAGUUUUAGUUUAGAGGCCAUUGUGUAAAAUGUAAGACAUUUUUUAUUAAUGUUUGUUCCCUUUAAAUGUUUGAAUCAAAAACAGAGCGGCAGUGGUUUGUGAUAAAUGCUUGUUUCUGUGUAACCAUGUGAGGUUUUCCUAUUGAAGGUGAUGCUGCACUGUUAUAACCUUUGCUGUGUUGCUUAUUGGACCUGACUGGAUUUCUAUUGAAUGUUCUCUUUAUGUUAUAUAUUUAUGAACGAUGAUUGUGAGCCGGCUAAGAGGUAAUCUUUCCAGUCUGCAAACCCUUACUGCUGAUAACUAAAGAUGACUUUCUCCGAUUUUAAGUUUUUUAGAACUAGAAUAGUUUAUUUCAGCAUUUCUUUGUGACGUCUUGCCUCCAAAGACAAGUUGGCUAAGAAGUGCUUAGAGUAUGAAGUUGUUUGUAUCAGCUUUAUUAUGCAAAUAUCUUUGUAAAGUGCUCCUCAGCUUGAACAGUGCAGCCCUCUACACCGACUUGUAUAAGAGAAUCCCAAAGCACCGACAGGAAGCUACUGGACUUGAUGUUUAUAAAUGUCAUAUUUUAGUUUUUAUUUUAACACUCCAAAAACACUGUCACCAACUUUCACUCCUGUUUUGCAUGCUUUAACUGCUUAAAGCACAAAUGUAAGGACAAUCCAUGUUAAUAUUACACUCCAUGAAUGUUAUGGUGAGUUUUCUGUAUAUUCAUGUAGACCUGUCAGUAUUGAUGCACAGUAUUCCCUCCAUUUUUGUAUUGUUCAAAAUGUUUCCUUGAUGUCAGAUGUGUUUUACCGACAGCAAUAAAAAGAAAAUGUGUUACAAAUGUUGAAA